UUAUGUUUCUUUUGUAAUUUAAUGUAAGACUUAAUGUGUCACUUGAUAAAAGGAAAUUCCGUCACUUCAUGCAUUUGUGUAAAUACUUCUCUGACUAAUGUGUUUAAACAAGUUUUACAUCCAAAUGUAAUACAGAAUAACCGCUCGUUUUGUUUCUGUUUAUUCUGUGUUUCUUUCAGUGUCUGGACUGACGAGUGUAGAAGCAAAUUAUUCUUGCAUCACAGCAAACAUGAUUUGCACAGAACCGGGCGCAUCCAGCUGCACAGUGACGCCCGUCAUCGACACGCCAUCAGAAGGUACCAACCAAAGUACAACAGAAUAUGCCUUCUACUAUACGAUUGAUUAGAUCACAGAGAGCAGAGACAUCUGACUGAAGGAGAGCUUUGCUUUGUGAUGUAGCAGGUUAUGAGAGUGACAAGUAGCUGUUUACAUUGUGUUGUCUGUAGUAUUUUGACUAAAACAUUUUAUUUUUUCAUAUACACUUUUGAUAACAUUAGUCAGAGUGUUGUAUGUACACAUGAUAAAAAAUUAAACUUGAUUUUAAAAAUGAGCUAGUCUGACUCUACAACUGUGUGGCAUUUCUAAAAAUGGACUGACAUUAUCAUCAACCUUCACCUGAGGUCUUCAUCAGUCUCACAGUAUCGGAGUCUUAUUUUAAAGAGCGAGCGGUUUGUGGAGUGUGACAGUUAAACCACAUUGUUCUAUCUGCUCUGCCUUUGCACACGUCUGAAAACGCUGUUUAUGAGAACGGAGCUGCUGCAGCUUUUAAAUAGACUCACUGUGGUUCUAACAACAUGCUGAUUCAUUCAGACCUGCAGCUACUGUGUGACAUCUGGUAAUAACAUCACAUGAACUUAUAAAACCAUUAAUGUAAUAAGAAUAAAACUGCCGAGAAUGAUGGCACAGAAACAAAAUGUCACACUUCACACUACGGCCUUUUAUAUCAAGCAGUAUUUUGAUUUUAAGUUUGUUAUCUAAAAAUCACAAUAAAUUCUUUUAGCAUGAGUUCCAACAACUGUUAAAGGGAACUCGCUGUAGUAUUACGCUAACAUAAAGUUAGACUUACAAGACAUGUAUUUAAAAAUGCAAUGGGCCAAGACAUGCCUUUUAGUCCCCAGCAUAUGUCAUGUGUCAAGAAUCCUGGAUCCUACAUUUCCCAUGAUGCAACUCAAAAGUAACUUUUACUAGACCAUCAUUAGGUGCCUGUUACAUGCUCAUGUCUUUCACACACUGUUCAAAUAUGUAACACAGGCUUCCUGCUCAAGUCUCAAGCCCGACCCUAAUAUUAAGCCUGAUGACACCUUAAGAGAUAUUUUUCUCAGACUUGAAAAAACCCCAGGGUCACAGACAACAUUAUAUUAUAUUAAACAUAUCAUAUCAUUUAGGAACUUUUAUAGCUCCGACCUCUUGAUGCCUCAUUUUCUGGGUGAACUUUCAUAAAUAUGCAUCAUUAUUAAAUAAUUUUUUAAACACAAAAAAAUUGCAACUUAAUGCAAAAAAACCCUUCAAAAUUAAACUCUGUAGUUAACUGGAAAAUUGGUUUGAUUGCAAAUUUUAGAAUGUGGUUGUACGUGUUGGUAGAGGCUUAAGAGUAAAUCAGAUAACUAAAAAUAGA